UACGGGGGGGGCAAGCGUUGUUCGGAAUUACUGGGCGUAAAGGGCUCGUAGGCGGCCAACUAAGUCAGACGUGAAAUCCCUCGGCUUAACCGGGGAACUGCGUCUGAUACUGGAUGGCUUGAGAUUGGGAGAGGGAUGCGGAAUUCCAGGUGUAGCGGUGAAAUGCGCAGAUAUCAGGAGGAACACCGAUUGCGAAGGCAGCUCGCUGGGACGUUACUGACGCUGAGACGCGAAAGCGUGGGGAGCAAACAGG
rnacentral:rRNA from 1 species